AUUUAUCGGAGAGUUUGAUCCUGGCUCAGGACGAACGCUGGCGGCGUGCCUAAUACAUGCAAGUCGAGCGAACAGAUGGGAGCUUGCUCCCUGAUGUUAGCGGCGGACGGGUGAGUAACACGUGGGUAACCUGCCUGUAAGACUGGGAUAACUCCGGGAAACCGGGGCUAAUACCGGAUGGUUGUUUGAACCGCAUGGUUCAAACAUAAAAGGUGGCUUCGGCUACCACUUACAGAUGGACCCGCGGCGCAUUAGCUAGUUGGUGAGGUAAUGGCUCACCAAGGCAACGAUGCGUAGCCGACCUGAGAGGGUGAUCGGC
rnacentral:rRNA from 1 species